rnacentral:rRNA from 1 species
CGAGUCCGAGGAGCUAAGGCUCCAAAGUGAUGCGAGUCAGACUUCCCAGAAAAGCCCGAACCACGUUAAUUUCUAAUUACCUGUACCCGAAACCGACACAGGUGGGUAGGUAGAGUAUACUAAGGGGCGCGAGAUAACUCUCUCUAAGGAACUCGGCAAAAUGACUCCGUAACUUCGGGAGAAGGAGUGCCUUAUUUAUAAGGUUGCAAUAACAAGAUCCAAGCAACUGUUUAUCAAAAACACAGGUCUCCGCUAAGUCGUAAGACGAUGUAUGGGGGCUGACGCCUGCCCAGUGCCAGAAGGUUAAAGAAGUUGGUUAGUGUAUGCGAAGCUGAUGACUGAAGCCCUGGUGAACGGCGGCCGUAACGAUAACGGUCCUAAGGUAGCGAAAUUCCUUGUCGGGUAAGUUCCGACCCGCACGAAAGGCGUAAUGAUUUGGAUACUGUCUCGGAGAGAGGCUCGGUGAAAUAGACUUGUCUGUGAAGAUGCGGACUACCUGCACCAGGACAGAAAGACCCUAUGAAGCUUUACUGUAACUUGAAAUUGGAAUUGGACUUUGCUUGCGCAGUAUAGGUGGGAAGCGUUGAAGAUAUUCUUGCGGGAGUAUUGGAGCUAUCAGUGAGAUACCACUCUUGUAAUGUUAGAUUUCUAACUUUGAACCAUAAUCUGGUCAAGAACAGUUUCAGGUGGGCAGUUUGACUGGGGCGGUCGCCUCCCAAAUGGUAACGGAGGCGUACAAAGGUUUCCUCUGAACGGAUAGAAAUCGUAUCUAGAGUGUAAAGGCAUAAGGAAGCUUGACUGUGAGACCUACAAGUCGAGCAGGGACGAAAGUCGGUCUUAGUGAUCUGACGGUACUGAGUGGAAAGGCCGUCACUCAACGGAUAAAAGUUACUCUAAGGAUAACAGGCUGAUCUCCCCCAAGAGUUCACAUCGACGGGGAGGUUUGGCACCUCGAUGUCGGCUCAUCGCAUCCUGGGGCGGUAGUACGUCCCAAGGGUUGGGCUGUUCGCCCAUGAAAGCGGUACGCGAGCUGGGUUCAGAACGUCGUGAGACAGUUCGGUCCAUAUCCGGUGUAGGCGUUAGAAUAUUGAGAGGAGCCUUCUUUAGUACGAGAGGACCGAGAAGGACACACCGCUGGUGUACCAGUUAUCGUGCCAACGGUAAACGCUGGGUAGCUAUGUGUGGAGUGGAUAACCGCUGAAAGCAUCUAAGUGGGAAGCCCAUCUCAAGAUGAGUAUUCUCAC